UACGAAGGGGGCUAGCGUUGUUCGGAUUUACUGGGCGUAAAGCGCGCGUAGGCGGAUCGCUAAGUCAGGGGUGAAAUCCCAGGGGCUCAACCCCUGGGAACUGCCCUUUGAUACUGACGAUCUGGAGAUCGGGAGAGGUUGGUGGAAUUCCGAGUGUAGAGGUGAAAUUCGUAGAUAUUCGGAGGAACACCAGAAGCGAAGGCGGCCAA
rnacentral:rRNA from 1 species